rnacentral:rRNA from 1 species
UACGUAGGGGGCAAGCGUUGUCCGGAUUUAUUGGGCGUAAAGAGCGUGUAGGCGGCCUGACAAGUCUGCUGUGAAAACUCGAGGCUCAACCUCGAGAUGUCGGCGGAAACUGUCUGGCUAGAGUCCGGAAGAAGAGAGUGGAAUUCCUGGUGUAGCGGUGAAAUGCGCAGAUAUCAGGAAGAACACCUAUGGCGAAGGCAGCUCUCUGGGACGGUACUGACGCUGAGACGCGAAAGCGUGGGGAGCGAACAGG